rnacentral:rRNA from 1 species
UUGAAGAGUUUGAUCAUGGCUCAGAUUGAACGCUGGCGGCAGGCCUAACACAUGCAAGUCGAACGGUAACAGGAAGCAGCUUGCUGCUUUGCUGACGAGUGGCGGACGGGUGAGUAAUGUCUGGGAAACUGCCUGAUGGAGGGGGAUAACUACUGGAAACGGUGGCUAAUACCGCAUAACGUCGCAAGACCAAAGAGGGGGACCUUCGGGCCUCUUGCCAUCAGAUGUGCCCAGAUGGGAUUAGCUUGUUGGUGAGGUAACGGCUCACCAAGGCGACGAUCCCUAGCUGGUCUGAGAGGAUGACCAGCCACACUGGAACUGAGACACGGUCCAGACUCCUACGGGAGGCAGCAGUGGGGAAUAUUGCACAAUGGGCGCAAGCCUGAUGCAGCCAUGCCGCGUGUAUGAAGAAGGCCUUCGGGUUGUAAAGUACUUUCAGCGGGGAGGAAGGUGUUGUGGUUAAUAACCGCAGCAAUUGACGUUACCCGCAGAAGAAGCACCGGCUAACUCCGUGCCAGCAGCCGCGGUAAUACGGAGGGUGCAAGCGUUAAUCGGAAUUACUGGGCGUAAAGCGCACGCAGGCGGUCUGUCAAGUCGGAUGUGAAAUCCCCGGGCUCAACCUGGGAACUGCAUUCGAAACUGGCAGGCUUGAGUCUUGUAGAGGGGGGUAGAAUUCCAGGUGUAGCGGUGAAAUGCGUAGAGAUCUGGAGGAAUACCGGUGGCGAAGGCGGCCCCCUGGACAAAGACUGACGCUCAGGUGCGAAAGCGUGGGGAGCAAACAGGAUUAGAUACCCUGGUAGUCCACGCCGUAAACGAUGUCUACUUGGAGGUUGUGCCCUUGAGGCGUGGCUUCCGGAGCUAACGCGUUAAGUAGACCGCCUGGGGAGUACGGCCGCAAGGUUAAAACUCAAAUGAAUUGACGGGGGCCCGCACAAGCGGUGGAGCAUGUGGUUUAAUUCGAUGCAACGCGAAGAACCUUACCUGGUCUUGACAUCCACAGAACUUUCCAGAGAUGGAUUGGUGCCUUCGGGAACUGUGAGACAGGUGCUGCAUGGCUGUCGUCAGCUCGUGUUGUGAAAUGUUGGGUUAAGUCCCGCAACGAGCGCAACCCUUAUCCUUUGUUGCCAGCGAUUAGGUCGGGAACUCAAAGGAGACUGCCAGUGAUAAACUGGAGGAAGGUGGGGAUGACGUCAAGUCAUCAUGGCCCUUACGACCAGGGCUACACACGUGCUACAAUGGCGCAUACAAAGAGAAGCGACCUCGCGAGAGCAAGCGGACCUCAUAAAGUGCGUCGUAGUCCGGAUUGGAGUCUGCAACUCGACUCCAUGAAGUCGGAAUCGCUAGUAAUCGUGGAUCAGAAUGCCACGGUGAAUACGUUCCCGGGCCUUGUACACACCGCCCGUCACACCAUGGGAGUGGGUUGCAAAAGAAGUAGGUAGCUUAACCUUCGGGAGGGCGCUUACCACUUUGUGAUUCAUGACUGGGGUGAAGUCGUAACAAGGUAACCGUAGGGGAACCUGCGGUUGGAUCACCUCCUU